AUGGAAAAGACAGCAUCCAAGGCUUCUACGGUAUUGAUUAACAAAGUUCUCACCCUAUUGCCUUUGCAGUGCAAUUGCUCUGGAGAAGCUACUGUGACCUGUUUUCCUCCUUGUCUUCCUGAUGGGAGCAUCUCUGUUCUUACUGCACUCUGCUGUUGGAUUCCUGUCUCCAAACUUUAGGAUUAUGAGACGGUCUGACAAAUCUGAUGGAGCGCUGAUUCCAUCUCCUGGUCUCAAUAAGGAAAGUCAGAAUUUAAGUAAGAUCUUACUGCUACAAUGAAGCUUACUAAGUCCCUUUCUCCUUCUGAACAUCAAAGUAGAGCCAAAAGGAAUUAUAAAGAACAAAUGUAUGAACGGUGUUUUUUCCCCAGAGUUUGUGAAAUUGUACAGAGAUCAGAAAUAAACUGGUUGCGUGAAUUUAGUUUAGGACCUUG
rnacentral:lncRNA from 1 species